rnacentral:lncRNA from 1 species
UUCUUUUAUUAAAACCAGAAAGGUGUGGAGUAAAAAAUAUUAAAAUUUUAUCAUAAUUUUCUAUAUAAAAAUUAGAAGUGGAAGUAAAAAGAAAAAAAGAAAAAAUCAAAGGGUAUAACAAAAAAUAAAAUUAAAAGAAAUAAAGGGUGAUUAAAAAAAAAUAUAAAAGGGUUGAAUGUGAAAGUGAUGGGAAGAGAGAGAAUUGAGAGUUAUAUAGAGAGAAGAAGAGAAAGUGAUGGAGGAGAGAGAGGAAGUGAUAUUUGGGCGAAAACAAAAUAAUUUGAGGUGAAAAUUUGAGUCGUUGAAUUCAACUCAAAUUGAUUUCAGCCGUAGAUAGCGGAGAGGAGAUUUUGCGAUUAACACGUAAUUGUAAUUUAGAAUAGCAGAUAUAUAUACUUCUUUUUAAAUUAUAUUUUUAUGUAUAUGGAGUUUGCAUCUUAAGCUCUAUUAAUAAUAGGCUAAUAGUUUCCUAAGUUUUCUCAACAAUCUAACUCACGAGGAAUUAGUUUUUUCAAGAUAAAAUUUCAUGUAAACAAGUAUCUUUAACAAAUUUACCUUUACUUGCCAAACCUUAAAGUACGGCCUCCGUUUGGUAUGCUUAAAAGCCAAGAUUUUUAAGCUCUAUCAAAAAGAUCCAAGAAUUUAAUUUUUUGAUUUUGUGGUUUUACUUUAGCUAAAAACUAAGCAAAAAAAGCAAAAAUCAGAAAAGCAAAAAAGCCAACUUGAUUGGCUUUUUUGCUUAUUUUAGCCCAAAAAAUUUGAACAAAGCUAAAAAAGCUGGUGCCAAACGGAGCCUUGACUUCUAUUGUAGAGUUUGCAAUAAUAGUAUUGCUUAGGAGAUUCUCGAACCAGAAAAGCAUCCAAUGACUACGAAAGAAUUGAAUAGAGCUUAUGAUAUGAAAAUUGACAAAAAGAAGAGUGAUUCGACUCAAUGUUCUAUCUAUACCCGAAUUCCAAUCACCUAUUCAUUUGAAUGCUAAUAAUUAGCACCACAUUUCUUAAAGUAAAAUAUAACUAAGUAUAGAGAGAAAUCACCUACAAAUUCUAAUUGGCACUCACUAUAUCCUUCAAGCAUUCUAUGAUAUGUUUUUUUGUAAAAUCAAGCCAUAAUAUUGUAACCAAAUUAUUCUCAUUAUUCUAUCCAUGACAUGUCAAUAAUCAUUAGUUCGACUUACUAGUCACUUACUAGUACACUCAUAUUUAGAUCUAACGUCACGUCUAUGCAAUAAUACUUCGCAUAACAUCUAUUAAAUCCUGCCAUCAUAUGUCUUUUGAUUAGUACCUCCCUAUCAUUUAUAACAACAAAUAGAUGUAUACAUGCAUAAAAAUGUAUAGGAACAUACUUGCAAUCAUAAGUGGAUUAUACUUGGUUCAUAUUUUUCUCCGUACACUGCGACUGUUGAAAGAAUAUUUUCUUCAAUAGUUUUAUUGAUUUUUAGAGUCUCAUUUAUCAUAUGCAAGUUAGAGCCAAAAAAUUAGCAAUUCACCACAUAGAGGCUACUACUCACCACUGUGCUUGGCACAUUGAGUAGAAUGUAUUCAUUUGAAUAUCCUCAUUUUUUAAUAUAAAUGCUUAGGUUAUAUAAGUUUUGGGGGUAAUGCCAUUUUUUGUAUCCCCAGCUGAUAUGCAUUGAAUACACAGCCUGUUUAAUUGUGCACAACCAGAUAAUCCAAUGCCCACAACUCAGCCCUUUAUAUUGAACAUUAAGCCCCACGUUCAGGAAAAACAACCCUUAAUCAAAAUAACGACAACCCAAUUAAAUAUUUAGUUCUUAGAAUGUGUAGGACAAAUGAGACAAAGCAGAAUAAGGGAACACGCAACUCAAUAUCUUUUGCUCAUUUCUCCUCCUAAAAAGUAAUAGAUAAACUACACGGACUCAAACAUCAGGUCCUCUCUCUGUUCAUUUACGUAUAAAAUCGAUAUAAAUGAUUUUUUUUUUCUUUUGGGGGGAGGUGUCCCAAUUGGUGGAUGACCUAGAACACAGUCAAUUUUUUUUUUCUAUAUGAGGAGAAAUACUUUUUUGUUUUCCAGUUGAAAUAAAAAAAUCAUUGCGCCAUGACAUCAAGUCGAGUCAUGGAGGCCAAUACCUUUGAUCCAUUUACGCUGAAAAAGUUUUGCGAAAUAGAAGCAAAUGGUUCGACAGAGACAAGAAUACAAGUAAACUUCAUACAGUCCACUCUAUGCCUCUUAAAAACCUAACACCUCAAUAAGGCAUCAUUUGUUUUUAGAAUUCUCAUUUUUGGCAUCGUAAUCAAACUUCAUUAUCUAAUUUUUUCAUGUACAUUCUCAGUUUUAGCAAGUCGCCGCACACCUGUUUGGUAAGUUUGGGCGGUGCUUAUGGGUUCCAAUUUCUAACACAUCCGAUUUGCCAAAAAAUUGUCGAAGAAUUUUAAAAACCUCGAUAGAAAGAUUCUGAAUUGGGUAAACGAAGAGUGAUAUUAAUGGUACAAUUGAACGAGAAAAGCCACAUAAACUCCAACAAAAGAAUGCGAAAAGAAUGAUAAAGAAUGUUGAGGAGAUGGAAAAAAUUAUAACGAUCAAACGAGUCAGAGUUCGAAGAUGAGAAGAAAUGCCUCUCAGAGGAUUAUUGUGGAAUUUUGGACGUAUGAAGCUUGGUACACGAGUGGUAAAUAUGAUCGUGAGGUUGAAGAACUUUAAAGAAGUCUAACUUUGAAAAAUGGCUCUCUCAUGAUUCACCCACUCAAUGUUGAGUUAAGAAGAAGCCAAUUCUUGCUUCAAAAUUCACAGCUUCUGCCUUUAACACAAUGGAGAAGGUACUAGAAAAGAUUCGAGACAAGACCACUCCAAAGAUUGGUAUUUGGGGAAUGGGUGGAGUGGGCAAGACCACUGUCAUGCAACUCCUAAACAAUAGCCCUGAGAUCGCAUCAAUGUUUGAUUUUGUGAUAUGGGUGACCGUCUCAAAAUCUUGGACCAUUAGACAGGUACAAGAGGAAGUUGUGCAGCGUUUAUCAAUGGAAAUAAAAAAUGAGGGUCAACGAAGAGUUGUUGCAAAUUGUUAUGAGGAACUGAGGGCAAGAAAUUUUGUUGCUUUAGACGAUUGUUUGGCAGGAGGGGAUUUAAAUGUUGAGGGGUUCCAAACUGCCCAUCAAGAAAACUGGGUGCAAAGUGGUUUGACAACCAGAAAAAAGAGACGUUUGUCAGAAGAUGGAGAUUGAUUAUAUGAUCAAGGUGGAAGGUUUGACUUGAAAAAGAAGCAGGGAGAGGUUCACACUAAAAGUGGGGAAUGUUGUAGAGCUCCAACCACAGAACAAUAUGCUGAAGAAAUAGUCAGAAAAUGUGGGGGCUGCCACUUGACAAUUAAGGGUUGUGGGUGGGUUUACGAAAUAAAAAUAAAGAGAAUUUUGGAAGCAGUUCUUAAAAAACUUAAAGUCACAGGAGAGGCUGUGAUGAAGAUAUUAAUGAAAGAUUAGUGUUCAAGCCAUUAAACAGUUAGUUAUGAUUGUUAAUUAGACAUAAGAACGAAUUGUUUCUUUGUUUUGUGGACCUAGUAUCCGGAGAUAAGAAGAUUGGCGUAUUCGAAAUUGAUAGGUUACUGGAGAGCAGAAGGGGUCUUUCAGGUAAAACUUACUUGGCAGACGCACGUGUGUUAAGGGGAAGUAAUAUUGGAAGCCUUAUAGAUGCGUUUUGGUGGAAAAGUGCGAUGGAGAGAUGUCCAAUGACUAUUGAAGAUGCACGAUGUGGUUCGAGGACUCUUGGUGUUGGCAAAUGACUUCCCUGAAAGGAGCGGAGUGCUUGACACCUUGUGAGAGCUGGAAACUUCUUUACGGAGAAGAAUCCAGAGGAUGAGGAAUGGGGAAAAGGCAACAAGAAAUGUAGUUUAUGGAUAACCUUACACUUGAGCAAUUUGCCAAAAAUCCCACAAUUGUUCCCAUUGCUCUUGAAUUACUGUCUUCGAGGGUUUAUAGCCUAACAGGUGAUUCCGGAAUCUUUCUUCGACAAACAUGCCCAAACUUCCAUGUCUUAGAUCUCUCUAGCACUUGUAUCAAUUUUGCCGAUUUCUGAUAUCUAAAUUGGUCACUCUUCGUGAGCUUACUUGUGAACGAUUGUGUCUUUGAUGUAUACAUGUGGAGCUUAAGUGAACUACAGUCACUUGAGAGGUACUUGACGUCACAAUGGCCAGUUGGACGUCCACCCCUUUGGACUUUUGAAACUGACCACUCUUAAAGAUUGAAGAAUGAAGAUAUGAGGUCUUAUGAUAAUUUGUUGAUAGUGGGCAAAUUCUUAUUCCUAGGUUGAUAGAGAGAUAUAUCAGAUGGAGAAUUUUGGUUCCAAAACUUUUUGUAUGACUUGGGGUGGUAAGUGAUAAAAGUGACAUGGUUAUUGUGCAGUGAGCCUGAGCAACUUUUGUUCCUUUCUUACUGAUAUUAAGUUCUGCGUGCAAGUCAUCUCAAUACUUCCGUCAAAAAAGUGUGAGAUCAUGAGAGAGGACAAAUUAACGAAAUCUGGGUUUGGUAUUGGCCAAUAAAUGUGAAUCGUUAAGGUGGUAAAAAGAAAUGUCUAAGUUAUAAAGGAGGGACCGACGAGGAGAAGAUCAUAGCAUAUGCCUGGGCAAUGAGGAUUGUACUCAUUCGUUCGAAAUGCUUUUGAAACUAGUUGGGCCAUGGAGAACUUGACGACUCUAUAAGAUUUGGGCACACGAAAACACUUACGAGUUAAAAAUUCUGCCAUUGUAAAUUCUUGCAACAUGCUUGAAAAAUGUCGGAUAGAAACGGGCUAGAAAUGGUGUUUUUGGGAAAAUUAGAAAUUUUAACAUUGAGUAAUCUGAGGAAUUUGAAGUGCUUUUGAGAUGGAAGGGGACCACCACCACCCACUGUCCGGGUUGCAAACACAGCUUUACAAUCUGACGGAAUUGAGAGUCUAUGAAUGCCCAAUGAUUACGCAUGUCUUCUAAAUGGAUCAUGAUUCAGCUACUAUCCAAUGGUUCGUUGCGUCACUAUAAACUGUUUCUGGACUGGAGGGGGAUGCUUCAGAGUGAUGA